UACGUAGGGGGGCAAGCGUUGUCCGGAAUCAUUGGGCGUAAAGCGCGUGUAGGCGGCUCGAUAAGUCUGCUGUGAAAGUUCAGGGCUCAACCCUGAAAUGCCGGUGGAAACUGUCGAGCUAGAGUCCGGAAGAGGCGAGUGGAAUUCCUGGUGUAGCGGUGAAAUGCGCAGAUAUCAGGAGGAACACCAAUGGCGAAGGCAGCUCGCUGGGACGGUACUGACGCUGAGACGCGAAAGCGUGGGAGCAAACAGG
rnacentral:rRNA from 1 species